UCUAGUAUUGAGAAUCCCGCGUAUACGAUACCCCAUUGGGUGUUGUUAGUAGUCGUUUUUGGAGCACGAGUAGGAGCAGGAGUAGGGAAACUCUACAUCAACGUGCCGUAGAUAGUCUUGAGGACCUUGAGAUAGUACCUGAUCAUACUAGCAAUUGUAUCAACGGUUAGCUACUAGCAAGAGGAAAUGAUGGUUAGUCUUGGGCGGGUUGUUUAUCUCGGAUAGGCGUGACUAGUGAAAUAAAGUAUCUCAAACUUUCUUAUCUGGUGGAAAUUUUGCGUGAUCAGCUAAUAGUAGUUUGACCAAACUUUGUACCUUUAAGUUUCCAACUUUUGUACAUUACCGUUUGUAUCAAUAACGUAAGUAUUUACUGGUAAGUUGGUAUCAAUUGUGUAUGGUGCAUCCUUAUCUGGGUGUGGUGUCACAGUUGGUAUCAGAGCCAAAGGUUUUAGCGAAUUAGGUAUUUGGUAUGGAUACCUAGGCUUCAACCUAAGAGAACACGCCAGCUUAUGUAAUUUUUAGGAUGCUCUGGCUGACUUUGAAAUACGAAUAAUAGAUAAAUCCGGGUAUG